rnacentral:rRNA from 1 species
CUACGGGUCGCUGCAGUGGGGAAUAUUGGGCAAUGGGCGCAAGCCUGACCCAGCAACGCCGCGUGAGGGAAGAAGGUUUUCGGAUUGUAAACCUCUGUCCUUGGGGACGAAGAAGUGACGGUACCCAAGGAGGAAGCUCCGGCUAACAUAGCGUGCCAGCAGCCGCGGUAAUACGUAGGGAGCAAGCGUUGUCCGGAAUUACUGGGCGUAAAGGGUGCGUAGGCGGCAUAUUAAGUCAGGUGUGAAAUACUCGGGCUCAACCCGGGGGCUGCAUUUGAAACUGAUAUGCUUGAGUGUGAGAGAGGAAAGUGGAAUUCCUAGUGUAGCGGUGGAAUGCGUAGAUAUUAGGAGGAACACCAGUGGCGAAGGCGACUUUCUGGCUCAUAACUGACGCUGAGGCACGAAAGCGUGGGGAGCAAACAGGAUUAGAUACCCUUGUAGUC